GAAACAGAAUAGCAUGGACGAAACAGAGAAGGAAAGAAGGAAAGAAAGAAAAGAAAGAAAGAAAAGAGAAAAUUGAGGUUUUGAGGUUCUAAGCUCAUUUGCUACUGUCGUGCAAGAGUUAUUGUCCGAGAAAGGAAAGGAGAAGGUGAACAAGGAGUGACUCGAGAGAAAUUUCGGUUAGUAGAAAGCCAGUGUCGCUCCAGCAUCCAAAGUAAUCCCGACUUCAGAGAAACUUUAGUGAUGUACCUUUCUUUUGAUAACGUGGCAUGUACCUAAGUAAUAUAUAUACCUAAGUAAUGUUUAUACCUAAGUGAUGUAUAGGAAUUAGUCAAUUUGAAUGUUUGUAUCUAUGAUUUUGCUAAAGGAAGAUGUGUGAGUAUGUGAUAAUGUUUGGCUUUUAAAAUGGUUAAGUAUGAAUAUGUUUGGUAAUAUGUAUGUUUAGAUGAUAAAUCAUGCAUGGAAAUCAUGAAAGAGUAAAAAUUUGCAAAGAAACAGAUUUCAAGCAGCUACAGUGAU